rnacentral:snRNA from 14 species
UUACUUACCUGGCAGUGAAGAUACCUUUCCGCUCAGCCUUGAAUGACUUGGUGUAGUUAGAGGGAGAAGGCCUGUCCCUUGCAUUGCAGGCAGCCUGACCCCUGCAACAGUCUACAAAUGCCUCCAAAUGCAAGGAUCUUGGCUACACAAUUUAUGGUGAUGGGGGACCGCUCUCAGGCUUUCCCUCU